UUAUUUGCAUCUGGUUCUAGCAAGGGAAUUGCUGCGAAGGCCCUCAAACAGGGGGGCCAUCCUUUCGAAUCCCUAUCUAGUUGUUUAGAGAUGUAGGCCACCGGCCUCAGCCAAGGCCCCACAGUUUGGGUUAAAAGUCCAGCUGCCAUCUUUUCUCUCUGACGCAUACAAUGGAAAAGGCUUUGUGAGAUCGGGUAGCCCCUCGGCUGGGGCUUUCAGAAGUUUUUCCUUUAAGUCAUGAAAGACUUGCUGUUGUUGGAAUCCCCAUUCCAAAAGUUCCCGGUCCCCGCCCCCAUUGUGACCUCAUACAAAGGCUUGGCUAAUACUGCAAAGUUUGGGAUUCCCAGUCUACAAAACCCCACAGCUCCUAGGAAUUCUCUCACCACCCUUGUGCCUUUAGGCUUCGGUAGAUUGCAAAUGACCUGCUUUCUUUCGGAUCCCGGGCUGCUUUCGGACACCUGUCGAAUAGUAAAUCCCAAGUAAGGUACCUGCGGUCGUCGGCAGAUCUGAAUUUUCUUCUUGGACACCUAAUACCCACAGCCCUCCAGAGACCGAGAGGUUGAUGUCACUCCCAAUAUCGGAGGAAGUAUACACCCCCGUGUGAGAUGGUCCUUAAUAAUAUUCCACGGCGGAGGGGGUGAUAUGACUACAUACAUGGCAGAAAGUGGAAACCUCCCAGGGAUAUUGUUCCCACGAUCCUGGAGGGAAGAAGAUGAUGUUACUUUCAAUAUGACAGAAGGUGGAUGAAGUGGUGGACUGCCCCUCCACACCUGUGGACACGCCCCCACUGAUAUUCCUUCUAAUUGCAGCGUGGGAGAGGAGGAUAUGACACGCGAUAUCGCAGGGAGUAGAAACACCCCUGUGAUACUGUUCUUAAUAUUCAGAUGGACACGCCCCCACUGAUAUUGUUUUUAAUGCAGCGUGGGAGGGGAGGAUAUGACACGCGAUAUCGCAGCUGAGUGCCACGUGCUGACGUCACUAAGAUCAAUACAGCAAACUCUGAAAGAUGGACAGAGAGACAGGAGAUGGUCCUUUAUAAUGCAGUGUGAUCUGUGCUGCAAUAGAGUUUUGGAAGCUAGAAGUUCAAAACGAGGUGUUGGCAGCACCAUGCUCUCUCUGAAGAUGCUAGGAAGAAUCUGCUCCAUGCCUUUCCAUUCGCUCCUGGGGUUUCCUGCAAGCCCUGACAUUCCUUGGCUUGUAGAUGCAUCACCCCAGUUUCCGCCCCCAUCAUCACAUGGCCUCCUCUCUGUGUGUGCCUCUGCGUUCCCUCUAUUCUUCUUCUAAGGACACCGACACCAGUCAUAGUGGAUUAAGGGUCCACUCCUAACCAAUUACAUCUGCAACAACCCUAUUUCCAAAUAAAGUCACAUUCUAAGA
rnacentral:lncRNA from 1 species